CUUGAGUGCAGAAGAGGAGAGUGGAAUUCCACGUGUAGCGGUGAAAUGCGAAGAGAUGUGGAGGAACACCAGUGGCGAAGGCGACUCUCUGGUCUGUAACUGACGCUGAGGAGCGAAAGCGUGGGGAGCGAACAGGAUUAGAUACCCUGGUAGUCCACGCCGUAAACGAUGAGUGCUAAGUGUUAGGGGGUUUCCGCCCCUUAGUGCUGCAGCUAACGCAUUAAGCACUCCGCCUGGGGAGUACGGUCGCAAGACUGAAACUCAAAGGAAUUGACGGGGGCCCGCACAAGCGGUGGAGCAUGUGGUUUAAUUCGAAGCAACGCGAAGAACCUUACCAGGUCUUGACAUCCUCUGACAACCCUAGAGAUAGGGCUUUCCCUUCGGGGACAGAGUGACAGGUGGUGCAUGGUUGUCGUCAGCUCGUGUCGUGAGAUGUUGGGUUAAGUCCCGCAACGAGCGCAACCCUUGAUCUUAGUUGCCAGCAUUCAGUUGGGCACUCUAAGGUGACUGCCGGUGACAAACCGGAGGAAGGUGGGGAUGACGUCAAAUCAUCAUGCCCCUUAUGACCUGGGCUACACACGUGCUACAAUGGACAGAACAAAGGGCUGCAAGACCGCAAGGUUUAGCCAAUCCCAUAAAUCUGUUCUCAGUUCGGAUCGCAGUCUGCAACUCGACUGCGUGAAGCUGGAAUCGCUAGUAAUCGCGGAUCAGCAUGCCGCGGUGAAUACGUU
rnacentral:rRNA from 1 species